rnacentral:lncRNA from 1 species
CCUAGCUUAUUUGGGUGCUGACAUACCCCUUCGGCCCUAUCGACCGGUACUGAGGCCUAUCCUACCCCUCCUAUCACAUAUCACAUAACAUCAUAUCAUACUGACACAUAAUCAUAACAAAUAGCACCAUACCAAAUAAUUAUCUCAAAGACAAUUAUCCCUACUAUAACUCUUACUAGUGGGUCGGCCUUGGUGCCUUAGACCCACUUCUACUGGAAGGUAACUCACCUCAUGCUGCUGAACUUCACCGUAAGAAAUCCUUAGCCGUUGUCCUGGAAACUCCUCGAGCUAUCAAUACCACAAUAUCACCCAAUUAGCAAUUGGGCUCUAUACCAUGUUCCAUAAUCCAUACUUGGGGUAAAAUGACCAUUUUACCCCUGGCCCAACAAGAUACAUAACUCAGGCCCAAGUCCAACACCAAUUAAGACCAAGACUCCAAAAUCCAUAAAGGCCCACUAAUGGCCCAAAUCUAUUUUGGACCUAACCGAAGAAGGCCUAAUCUCCAAAAAGGCCUGAAUUACUAAAUGGCUACCCUAACCAACUCCUGGUCCAUGGUCCAAGGCCUAAAAGUCAACAAAACAAAGUGAGGCAACUAGACAGAGUACACCUUGCGUACUCAUCUGGUACGCUAAGCAUACACCUGUUAGGGCUAGUAUGCACUGCGUACCAGGUGGGUACACCCAUCGUACUCCUCUGAGGUUCAACCUUCUCCAAAUAAGCACUUAAUCACUUUAGCCCUUGCUCCAACUCUCCAGUCUGACUUCUAAAGGUGACUUUUCAAGUAAAGUGAGCAACGUUACUAACAUGCAUUGCUUAAUGGGACUCUAAAGCUCAAAAGAGCUUAAUGGAUGGUCUUAACUCAUGCUUGGACUCAAACACUUCACAAAGCUUGCAUCUUUAUGAAAGAGGGGACCUUAGAAUGUCUAGAUCUACAAGUUUGAGUCCUUAAAACAACCCUAGCUCACCAAGCCCAAGAAAAAGGCUAACAAUGGCCAAAAACCAACCCAAAAGAGGAUCUAUGAAAUUGAAGGUCAAGAUCAGAGCUUUUUACCUCUAAUGGGUUGCAAAAUAUGAGAACUUUCUAGAUCUACAAGCUCCCUUCCAUGAUCAAUACUUGAACACCACCUUCCUCUUCUUGUACACACACACUAACAAGUCUUAUUUUAAGCUCCAAACUUCAUCCAAGGCAAUCUAGGGUUUCAAGGAUGUGAAAAGAGGUGGUGGCUGACUUGAAACGACCUAAGGAAGGAAAUAAUGUGUAACACCCGUGUUUCUAGGCUAGGCAUUAAUGAUGAUGUAAUAGUCUAGGUAAACCGUUGUAAUUUGUUUUGAAAUAAUAAAGAUGUAUUACUUGAGUAUUAUAUGUUUUAUGUUUAAUUAUUAUGAUUUAAUAAGUUAAGAAUAAAAAUAAGUGCCAAAAAUAAAUAUUAGAUAAACCUGAUAUCUAUGGAGAAAGUUGUAGUGGUUGAAACAAGGAUUUCGGAGAUAUAAAUAGGCCUGACAAUGGAGUGGAUUUUGACCCUGAUCCGAUCCAAACCCUUAACAGUUAUACGGAUUUGGAGCAUAGUUUUUGAUCCGUUUACCCGUUAAUGACCCGUACCCGCUAACUCUUUUAUUAAAAGGGUCGGGUAUGGAUCAUCACCGAUCCGAUCCGUUUAUAACCCGCCCCAUAUAAAUUUUAGAAUUAUACAUUUAUAUUUUAUAUUGCCUAAAGUUUACAUUAAAUUCCAAUCGGAAGUCCAAAGAGAAAAGGCCAAAGACUAAAAUGUUUUUACAUAGGACUCGAGGAAUCAACUUCUAGACUUCCAAUCUUCUCCCAAGAGUCAUGAUUUCAUUUCAUUUAUAUUUCAUCAUGUAAUCACCAAUUUCAUUUAUAAAUCAAUAAGUUCAUUUAUCAAUCGGAAGAAGUUUGUAAUUGCUAUUCUCUAUCAAUGCAAUCGUUGGUCAAAAACCAAUCGGAAGUAACUAAAAUAAUGAUUUUCCAAUAGAAAGUUCUCGAGUACAUAAUGUGUUUUCUAAAUCAACACUUAGUUUUAUUUUAUAAAUGUGAUUUUAUGAUUUAAGUAAAAUAUGUUUGAUUAUUCAAAAAACCUACGAGUUACGGGGCGGGUUUGGAUAUUUGCUAAUUCGGUGGACAAGGGUAUGGGUUUGAUUAUUCAAAACCUUGCGGGUUACGGAGGGGGUUUGGAUCGGGUUUUGAAAUUUGUUAAAAAGGUUUGGAUGAAGGUCAAUUCGCUCCAAACCCGCCCCAUUGCCAGGUCUAGAUAUAAAGAAUACCGAAAUCCGAGUUAUAACGAAGAAGUUAUGACCUGUCGAAGUUUCGCGACAGAACCGGCACGACGUUGUAUGACGUAAAAAGUGAAUUUACGAUAAAGUGAUUUUAGCCUUAGCGAUCUAAAUGAAAUUCGUAGUGUUCGUUAAACCGAGAGUGUGCAUAAAAAGAAUGUCCAAAUCUGACUUCGUAUGAGGAAGUUAUGAAUUUUCUAAGAUUUGGCAUAGCAAUAUGCAGUCCGAAACUUGAAUUUUAGAUCGAGUGAUUUUUAGUCGAAACAACCUAAAUGAGAAGUUAUGAAUUUUUAACGGACUUUUUCUAUCCCGGCCUGUUAAAAAUAUAACUUUAAAAAUAAAGUCAAAAUUAGCCGAUGGAGUCUAAACGAAAGUUGUAGAGCAUAGUCUCACCUAUGCGUAGAUAUAAAGAACGUAAAAACGGAGCCUGUAUACGAAAUUUACGAAUUUUUGAAGUUUGAAAAUUUGGAGUACGCCCAGCGGAUAGGAGUACGACCAGCGUACUCAUGUUCACGGUCCGAGAUUGGCCACGUAGCCCUACUCUUUAGCAUGAUGGACACAUGUCGUAGCCUUGACACGUCCGAUAUGAUCCCCUCGUACGCCCAACGUACUGGCUGAAGAAGGAGUACGCCUAGCGUACUCUAAAGUUACGCCCAACGUAACACGACUUUUCAGCCCCUAUAAAUAGUGAUUGAAGCCAGCCGUAUUAUUGUUUACAAAAUUCACUCUUCUCACCCUCUACUUUACUUUUUGCUACACUAAAUACCCCCAAGCCUAAUAUAUCAUCCUAGCAUCAAAAGCAAGUCUCGUAGAGCCCGAAGAUCCCGAGAAAAAGAAUUUUCGAGCCGAAACUCUGUCCGCGUGAAGUCUAGUUUUUGGGAAAACAUCCCGGUUUUAUCAGAAACGAUCGUUUUAAGAAACGAAGUGUUGCCCAAUUAUCGUUAAAUCAAGUGAGUGUAUAGUCACUUUCAUCUUACACAUAGAUAUGAAGUAUUUUAAAUAAAAUAUGUGCUAUGUGUGUGUCUGUGUGUGUGUGUGUGUAUAUAUAUAUAUAUAUAUAUAUAUUGUUUGUUUAUUUGAGAUGGAUGUUGAAUGAAUAUUUUAUACAUGUUUUAAAUUAUUUAAACUUUAUAUGUAUUUUAUAUCUAUGAAUAUGUUGGAUAGAACAUGGGUAGAUAAAUAAUGAGGGAUGAAAGAUGAUAUAGAUGAAUGUUGGCAGCUGCGCCAUAACCCUUAGGUGUUUUUGAUUUAAGUGUUCACCAGUUGUAAUCUAAAUAUCCUGGAAGCUGCGCCUAAUGGAUAAUUUUUGCAGUUGUGCCUAAUAAAUACAACUUAAUCCUGGCAGCUGCGCCUAAAGGAUAAUAUCGGUAGUUAUGCCUAAUAGAGAACGUCAUAAUCCCGACAGCUGUGCCUAGAUGAUAAUAUCGGCAGUCACGCCUAAAAGAUAACAUGGGUAGCUGCGCCUAGUAGAUGAUAUUGGCAGCUACGCCUGGUUGAGAACAACACAAUCCUGGCAGCUGCGCCUAAAGGAUAAUAUUGAUAGUUGUGCCUAAUAGAGAACGUUGGCAGUUGUGCUAUUGGCAACGAAGGACUUUGUGCCUAUACCUUAGGACAAUCCUUUGGAAUGAAUGAGUGAAUGAUAAAGGAUUCUUAGGGUGGAACCUUAAGAAACUGCAGAAGUAUCCCUUAAGCAGUGUUGUUAACCCGAUGAUGAUCCUUAAGCUAGGUCCCUUUUUAUAGAUGUUUAGGGACAUAAAGUGAGGAUAACGGGAACGCGUAAUCAGGGUUAUUGUUGAUUGAUGAAAUUAAUAAAUUUAUUGUUAGUUGUUGAAAUCAAUAAAUUUAUUGUUGGUUGAUGAAAAUUAAUAAAUUUAUUUAUUGUGGGUUGAUAACCCUAUAUGCUCAACAGGCUCCCAAGUCUGAUCCACUCAGCUUUUUAUAUUGCAGGUAAUGGACCCAGAGCAUAGUUGGAUGAUGACGAGGGAUUUUUGGAUUUUAGGCCAUUAGUUGUAAAUAACUGUUGUAAGGCUUAUAGUGUAUUGUUUAUGCUUUUGGUCUGUAUUGGAACAUGACAUCCCGAGGUUUUUUUAUAUAAUGAAAAUAUAUUUCUUUAAGAAAUACUUUGACAAAAUUUUAUUAUAUUUUGUUUUGGGAACAGAUUCCACAACAUCUUUUGAAAGAUUACUCUGAUUUUAUUUUAAGAGAUAAACUAAAUCGGUCUUUUCUGGUCGAGAAAAAUGGGGAUGUCACAUAAUGUGGCUUAUAUAGGGCACAAGUCGAGAAAUUAGGGUUUUGUUCUGAAGGAAGUACACCCCGUGUACCCCUUUGUACGCCCAACGUACUCAAAACCACUUAUGAUCAUUCACUUUCAUACGUUGGGCGUACCCCAGCUUACACCGGGCGUACCCAGCUGAACAUGUGCAUGCAUCGUUGCAUGCAUGAGGCUGAUCUGUCAAGUAUUUCCAUUAGGGGCUAAUUUUGCCAAAACCUUCAAAGUGUCAUAACUCACUUGUCCUAAGUCCGUUUCCAACGAACCUUAUACCCACGAAAAGGUGGCGAGAAUCCCUACGCUCUUAGCAAUACACCCUAGCCUUAAAGCCUUCUGAUUAAAACCCAAAACCAUUAAAAGACCGAGAUGUCAAUUUACAGUCAUACCCUUGGCUUCCGAAGACAUAAUUGAAUACAUGGUUCACUUAGACCCUAGAAACUACAUCUGAUAUGGGAUAAAUCCUUCCUUGCCCAAAGCUUAUAACCCCCAUGUCAACUGAUGACUGGGUCACAGCCCCCAGCAACGAAGCAAUCCGAAACCGGGUGUUACACAUACAUGGAGGAGAUUUUGGGAUCCUGCCUCCAACACUCCUCUUCUUUCUCCACUUUCUCCUUAACUAACUUCUCCACCCUCUGUAGAAGCUCCUGUUGAUCCCUUCUUGCUCCUUCAAUGCAUGUUCCACCCGAUCAAGCUUAGCCUUGAGGUCCUUAGUGGACCGAGAAACAUGGUCGACAACCUGUAAAAGGCAACGGUAAGAAAACUAUAGACAAAAAUAAAAGAGCACAAAGAUACUUGAAGAUUGUGCGAAAGAGAUUAACUUCUUCAUCGCCUCAUCCACUCCAAGAUUCUCCAGGUCAAAGACCUCAGUUGAUUUCCUCUUCUGGGAUCAUGGAGUCUUAAAGUCAAAUCUAUGGAGGCUCUUUUAGGAGGGAGAGAAGAUGAGGUCUUCUCCUUCUUAACCACCUGUUGACUCUUUUAGACUACACUAUAAAUACACAUGUAUACCACACACUACACACAACCAGACUUACUUCAACACUUAUACUCUGUUACAUAUUUCCAUUUCUAUAAUUCACAUUUCAAUCAAUGCAAUUAAAUAAGGCGGGUGAUCAUUAUCACCUCCCAAGGUUUUGUGUCGAAGAUCUUAGUAAGGCGGGUGAUCAUUAUCACCUCCCAAGGUUUCAAUCAAUGCAAUUUUGUUCUCAAUUCGAUAAUCACUUCAAAUAUAACACCACAACCUCUCAUUCACUUUGGUUGAUAUCAUUUGAUUGUUUUUUUGAUCAAAACACUUUAUAUGCACAGAAAGGUAUUGACGAGCCCCACAAUUCUAUCUAGUUACUUUUGGCUUAACACAUACCGAACUAAAAACCAUACUCCAUGGAGGAAACCUAACGAAUAACUUUUCCCAUUUUAUCUUUUGGUUCCCACAUACAAGUGAAGGGAUUAGAUCCCAUAACCAACAUUAUCAACCUUCAAUAAGAUCUAAACUUGACAUCCUCAAAGCCCAAAACCUUUACAUAAUUGAAUUUUAAUCCAUAACCUUAAAUUAAGAAAUGACCUGAAACAGGGCGUUACAUUAAUUCAAUAUUUUGUUGUUAUUUUUGUUAAUAGUACUUUUGACUGGGAUAAUCCUUACAACUUUUACAAGGAUAAAUUUGUAUGUUUUUUUUAAAUAGGGACCACGUGUGCAUUCUUUUAACAGAAACAUUUCAAGAAUACCAUUGUAUAUUACACAAAUACAGAUGCUAUAACAAAAUUGAUAACCUAUGCCUCUUAGUUUUAUUUUAUUUUGAACAACGAAAAUUUGUUAAGCCUUUAGCAAGCAGCAAAAAAGGCCAGAAGAAAACGCAAAAAAAAAAAAAAAACACUUGAGACAGGAAAUGGAAAAAUACACCACGAAACCCAAUUUAAAGAGAUCAUUUUCCCUCUAUUUUCACCCAAAGAAAUGCAGUCGCCUUUAUAUCUUCAAUCAAUCGAACCGAAGAGGAGGGAACUUUGUUGAAAAUCAUGUCAUUUAUAGCUCUCCAAAUUGACCAUAGAGCAUACAUGAUCACCACACAAGUCACCUUUUUGAGUCGGGAUUGACAAUAAACGUGAGAGAUAGAUAGGAGCUCCUCAAGAGAAGUAAUAUGUGAUCGUACCAAGUACAUUGCAAUAGAAUGUGAAUGGAAGACUCACCCUUAAGCCCACAUGUCUUGCAAGUAACUGAUGUCAAACUGACUCCCCUUUUGCUAACUUAAUUUUGGAAGGCAAACAGUUUAGAACCGCUCUCCAACAAAAGAAAUUGAGUUUGAAGGGGACCCAACUAUUCCAAAAUUGUUUAUAAGUAAGUGACGUACAAAUCUUUGAAUCCUAAAUAGUCGUAAUCGAACUCACUGAGAACAACCCCAAGGGUUUCCCAAGCCAACACCAAGAUGUGAAACCAAAAAGUCACCUGAGCUUUCGAAGGUCGAAUCUGAAAGCAUCUUCACACAGCUCCACCUUUUCAGUUGCAAUUCUCGACGAUCUAUUCCAACUCCAAGUAUAGUUCAGUGACCCCUCAUUUUUUGAACAUCUCUCUAAAAAAAGAACGAUGUUUGUGGACUUGGCUUCGUGUCUUUUGAGGAAACCUUAAAACUCAAGGUGAAAGUUGAUAUAUACUUCAAACAUCUACUUAAUUUUAACUGAUCAUUAUAAAUUUACAAACAUAAUUUCAAUCUUUGUAAAUUAAUAAAAAAAUUCAAAUAUUCAACUAGUCAUUAAAUUGAAAAUUAUUAAUCAUGAUUUUCAUGGAUUCUAUUUCUAACCUAAUGAUUUAGCAUAAUUACAUUAAAUUUGAGAAGCUUUUUCGGAUCGGAUCCAACUGGCCCGUGUGUAGUGUGUGUGCGCUCUGUAUCACUAACCCCGUAGCGGCAGCUUGGCCAGUAAACUUACCGACCUCAAUCAUGGAAUUGAAAGCCAUCGGCGUACUAAUGACCUACCCCAUGUCUUCUUACCUCGAACAAGAACUCGAUAAGCGAUUCAAUCUCUUCCGCUUGUGGAAUCUCCCUCAGAAAAAUGACUUUUUCAAGGAGAACUCCGGUUCCAUUCGGGCCGUCGUCGGAAACACCAAAGUUGGCGCCGACCGAGAAUUGAUUGACUCGUUACCGGCUCUGGAGAUUGUAUCCAGUUUUAGUGUAGGGUUAGACAAGGUGGAUUUGGGGCAUUGUAAGGAGAAAGGGAUUAGGGUUACUAAUACACCCGAUGUGUUGACUGAAGAUGUGGCUGACUUAGCUAUUGGAUUGAUGUUGGCGACUUUGAGAGGGAUUUGUGAAUGCGAUCGUUAUGUUAGAGGUGGAUUAUGGAAGAAAGGCGACUUCAAAUUGACUACUAAGGUUUGAUUUCAUCAUCAUCUCCUUUUUUGCUCUUUCAACCUAUGCAACAUAAUUACUCUCAUUCUAUUUACAUUGUAGAGAAAAAGAUCGGAUCAUGAAUCGUUUUUCAAGAAUGUUACGUUUUCAGUAUCGUAUGCCAUGGAUGUUAUCUUGGACUAGUAUUUUUCAUAUUUUGUUUAUAUUCCUUGUUGCAGUUCAGUGGCAAAAAGGUGGGAAUCAUAGGUCUAGGCAGAAUAGGGACAGCAAUUGCCAAGAGAGCUGAAGCAUUCAACUGUCCAAUAAGUUACUAUUCCAGAUCACAAAAACCAGAAUCAAAAUACAAAUACUUCCCCAGUGUAGUUGAAUUGGCUUCAGACUGUGACAUCCUUGUUGUGGCAUGUGCACUAACCGAAGAAACUCGCCACAUCAUCAACCGCCAAGUCAUCGAUGCACUGGGCCCCAAGGGUUUUCUCAUCAACAUUGGGAGGGGCCCACACAUUGAUGAACCUGAACUGGUAUCCGCCCUUAUUGAAAGGCGGAUAGCAGCUGCAGGUCUUGAUGUGUUUGAGAAUGAACCCCAUGUCCCUGAAGAACUUUUUGGUCUUGAUAAUGUAGUACUCGUGCCACAUAUUGGGAGUGACACUGUUGAGACUGUAAAAGCCAUGGCUGAUCUUGUGGUAGGGAACCUAGAGGCUCAUUUUUCCAAGAAGCCAUUGUUAACUCCAGUGUUUAUAGAUUAGAAAGCUACAACUAGGAUCUCACACAACUUUCAAUGAUUUUCAUCUGUUAUGUAAUAUGUAGUUAAACUACAUUUUUAAGUUUAAGAGAUGAAAUUGUAAUCUAUGUGGUGUUCACACAUCUACAUGGAUCAUCAAUGUCUUACCAUGUCUUUGAGAGAUUGUUUAUGAUUCAUUUUUCUUAAAUUGGUGCUAUAUGAUUUGUUCUUAUGCAUGCUUGAGAAUUGAGAUUGUAUAUUUAGUACCAACAAAUUCAACAAUUUGACCGCUAGUACAUAGCUUUUGCAUGUGAUUGAAUUCUAUUUGACCAUGUAUUGACAUGUCGCAUGCGUUUUAUGUGAUUCAUAGAUAUAAUAUAUUGGUAUAUGAUUUUCGAUUCGAUAUUCUUUGUUUACUUUCUUUAAUUUUAUUUGUCGAUAUCCUUCGAAACUUAUAUUUGAGUUUUAAUCCCUUUGAGGUGUUCCAGAAGUUAUUUUUCCACCUUUUGUUAACCAAAAUGGGAGAAGAGUUUAUUUUGUUAUUUCGGUUUCUACUAUUGUGUUAAUAGUUGAUUUGAUGACUUCUUUUUAUCCCCAAAAAAAAAUGUGUUUGUCAUCAUGAGAUUAUCAGCGGAUGCGAUUAACACUGUUUAUCAAUCUUGUUGGUUUUGAUGAUAGGAAACAAGUAGCCCGAAUUGUGUUGUUUAUUAACCAUUUUAUAUAUUGUGAAAGAAGUUACAGUGCGGUGAAAUCGGCAAAUUAAUCGAGUUUCCAAGCCUUACUCUAAAAUUGAGUUAGGAUAUGAAUGUGCCGCUUGGACUUUAUUGGAUCAUAAGAGCAUCCAUAAUACAAGAGGUUUUUUAGUUAAGUUUUUCGUUAAAAGCUAAAAAAGAAAAAGCUUGUUGUAUCUCUCACAAUAUGAGAACUUUAAAAAAAAAAAAAAUAUAGGAUGUUUGUAUAUGUUCUUUAGUUAUAGUUGGUUGAAAAUAUGAGAACGACACAAACAUUAAAAGAACUCAUGAGAAGAGCCGAAGAGCUUUUUAAUUAACAAACAACUUGAAAAUGUUUUGAUUUACACAGACAUUAAAAGAACUCGUGAGAAGAGCUUUUUAAUUAACAAGCAGCUUGAAACUGCUUUGAUUUGAAAAACUAUCUUAUAGCCUUUUUAAUUUUCAAGAGUUCUUUGGUUUGAAAAACUAUAAAUAUGCUGGUAUUGUGUAUGCUCUAAUAUGAGGAAGAUUGGCACACACACACAAAUAAUAUAAAAAUAAAAAUAAAAAAGAUUCUACAUCCAAGGAUAUGAAGAUUGGCGGAAUUCAUGAAUAAUUUAAACUGUCAAUUUUUUUUUCCAAAUUAACUACGUGAUUUUACUGCGUUGAUGCUUUUGAGACGAUUGAGGCAAAUGAGUUAUUGCCUACAUUCAUGGGAAGGAGAUCUACGAUUAGGGUUGGAUGAAAAGCAAUGGUACCAGAUGGGAAUGCUAGCACAAAGAUGUAAAGAUUAGGAGUGGAGAUUCAAAGGAGUUGAUGUUGAUAUAGGAAAGCGUCCAACUAAAAUUAAUCGGCGUUGAUAGUAUAAUGGUAUGAACCAUAAGUUUAAAAGCUCGAAUAAGAUCUCAAUAACAUUUGAUGUGAGAGUUUGCCAAUGUUAGUGGAAACUUAAGACUUAGUGUGGGACGUAGGGAAAGGUGUCAGAUGUUUACAUUGCUAGAAAGCUAUCAAAAGCUAGGAAAAUGUUUUGCAUUUGUUCAUCUCUUAAUGAGGUGGACGAAGGAGAAUUAGCAACAAAUAUAUAUAGUAUAUACAGAGGACAUGAUCAUUAUUUGCGACAUAUAAGUUUUUGAGAGACGAGAAUACUGGCAACAAAAUGAAACCAUUCCAUAAAAUAACAUCAAGGCUGGUAUGCAAAAGAAUGAGUGUUUAUCGUGUUCUUUUGUGAACGUAGUAGCCGGAAAGUUUGGGGAACAGGUAUAAGAGAGUCGUUGAAUCCAAAAAAAAAACUUAUCUUAUUGUUAGAUGCCAGAGACUUAUUGAUUAUUCAAGAUUCAACAUGUGUUGUUUUGGUUGAAAUAAAGGAAGUAUUAAGCACUACGAAUCUCCAUCAUUUGUGUAUAUAUGGAUGAAGGUUUUGUGGACUUGGAGAUUAGCUACAUUGAUGGUGCUUGGUUUUGGAUAGAGUUUAAGGCUUGAAGUUCUCGUGUUAAUUUCAAGCAGCAUGAAUUUCUUUGCCAAAAAAAAUCAAGGACUUAUAUAUAUGCUCGGUUACAAAAUCUUUUUUGUUAAGGAAUGUUUAGUUUGGGUGGAAAUUGAGGGGUUGCCUUUAAGUGCAUGGACAACUAAUGCUUUUAAAAAAGUUGCAAACAUAUGAGGAACAUCCAUGGUCGAUGAUGAAGAUCACGAGGAGAACAUUACAUAUGGGAGGGUGUGUAUGAAAGCAUUAAAAGUUAGAACCUACACUCAUGACAUAUAUGGUGAUGGUUAUGAAGGAAUUCGAUUUAGCUUCUUAUCUAUUAGUUGAUUAUCUAGCUGGCAUAUUAGUUGAUUAUCUAGCUGGCAUAUGGUUGUUAUCUUUAUCUAGGUUUCUUAUCUGCUAUCUAGUUUUAGGCGUUUUGUAUAAAUACCAAUCGUUGGUAUUCCUCUUGAUUUCAUGAACCAAUAAUAAGAAGCGAGACCCUUUUGUUUACGUUUUUAUUAUGGUAUCAGAGCUGACCAGGUGAUAAACAGUUCCAAGAGAGGGCAUAGGUUUAGUGCUUAAGACUUGAGUCUUAAGAGUUCCAAAAGCUUCAUCUAAACCCAUGAGGAAUUCAUAUAUGCGUUCCUUUUCUUUGGAUUCCAUCAAUCUCUUCCCAAGGUUACAAGUGUACUUGCCACAGGUACAUUUUUGUAUGGGUGAUACAGAUUGAAUCUCAUCCCAAAUACUCCUCAUCUUAGUGAAAUAGGCUGAAACCGAUGCAUUGUCUUGCCUCAUCGUUGUCAGUUCUCGCUUCAAUUCAUAUGCUCGUGGAGCACUUUCUUUCCCGAAACGCUCCUCGAGAUCAUCCCAAAUUUCUUGGGCAGGGGUAGCAUACUUCAUGCUAUUUCGGAUAUCUUUCUCCAUAGCAGUAAUAAGCCAUCCAUUUAUGAUGGCAUCACUCCGCUGCAAUGCCUUGAAAUCUGGUUCUGCUUCAUCUGGUUUUCCAAUUGAUCCAUCGAUAAAACCUGCCCUAUUUUUGGCGAGAAGGAAUUCCUUCAUCUCUCUAGAACAAUCUCCAUAGUUGCUGUCAUUGAGGGUGUCGUUGCCAUGCAUUUGACGAGGAUAGUCAUUAGGAUGUAUGUAGUAAGGCGAAUUUGGGUUUCGGGUUUGUACAGUCUAAGGAUGAUCAUUCUCUAUUCGUCUUCAAGAAAGCCUCAACGUAUAUUGCUGCCCUCAUUUAUGUUGAUGACGUAAUUUUACUUGGCAACGACAAUGCACUUAUCACUAAAAUUAAGGUGUAUCUUGAUAGGAAGUUCAGUAUUAAAGACUUGGGUCCAUUGAAGUAUUUUUUGGGUAUUGAAGCCACUAGAACACCAGAUGGUUUAGUCCUUAGUCAACAAAAGUACACUAUGGAUAUUCUCGCCGAUAGUGGUCUUCAAGGAUGUCGUCCUAGUUCUUUUCCGCUGGAGCAAAAUAUUCAUCUCAAUAAUGCUACGGAUGCUCCUCUUGUAGAUGCUAGUCGUUUUCGACGCCUCAUUGGGCGUCUCCUGUACCUUCAAGUCACAAGGCCUGACAUCACUCUUGCAGUCAACACUCUUAGUCAAUUCGUUGCUUCACCUCGUCAACCUCAUCUUGAUGCUGCUAUAAGAGUGUUACGCUACCUUAAAACUACUCUGGGACAAGGAAUUUUCUUUCCAUCAAAUGGAGAUCUUAGUCUCGUGGCUUACUCCGACUCAGAUUGGUUGGGCUAUCCAGUGACUCGCCGUUCCAAAACCGGUUAUUUUAUCACAUUGGGUGGUGCCCCAAUCUCUUGGAAAACGAAGAAACAAUCGGUGGUAUCUCGAUCCUCUGCUGAAGCUGAAUACCAUGCUAUGGCCACUGCUGUUAGUGAAGUUUUGUGGUUACGUUGGCUUUUAACUGAUCUUGGGGUUCAUCAACACACUCCAACUCCUCUAUAUUGCGAUAAUCAGGCUGCUCGUCAUAUUGCUAGUAACCCUGUCUUCCAUGAACGUACCAAGCAUGUUGAAAUGGAUUGCUACUUUGUUCGUGAAAGAGUUGAGUCUCAACAUAUCCAACCUUGUUUCAUCCAUACUACCAAUCAGCUAGCUGACAUUUUUACCAAACCUCUUGGAACUGAUCGUUUACGGUUUCUGCUUGCCAAGUUGGGCAUUCGUAAUCUUCACGGUCCAACUUGAGGGGGAGUGAAGGAAUUCGAUUUAGCUUCUUAUCUAUUAGUUGAUUAUCUAACCGGCAUAUUAGUUGAUUAUCUAGCUGGCAUAUGGUUGUUAUCUUUAUCUAGGUUUCUUAUCUGUUAUCUAGUUUUAGGCGUUUUGUUACCAAUCGUUGGUAUUCCUCUUGAUUUCAUGAACCGAUAAUAAGAAGCAAGACCCUUUUGUUUACGUUUUUAUUAGGUUACGAUGGAAGGUGUGGUUUAUGAUGUGUGAAUCAAAUAAAUUUUAAGGUGGGUCUUGAAUAUAACCAAAGAAUAUGAGAGAAACAUAGGUAAGGCUGAAAUAGGUAUUUUUUAUGAAGAAACUAUAUGGAUGGUGAAGUAUUGGGGAGAGAAGAGAGUGAUCAAGAAGGUGUUGGAGUUGAGAGAGAGGAUACAAUCUCUGAUUCGUUGUUAAAGCCCCCAUGAUUUGAUGGAACUAUAUAUAACAGCCAUGUGAAACUUGUUCUGGUGCCCCCUUCAGAAGUGGGGUCGAGUGGUACUAAUCAUGACCAUAUUAGUUUGUGCAUGUUAAUGAAGCUUCGACAUCAAAUAGAUUUCCAAGCACUUGGAUAAAAACUAUGAUGGUUAGGAAAAAGACAUGACAAAAAUUAAUUGCGCUUCUCUCAUUGACAAGAUGUUAAAAUAUAUGGAAUUUGGUGAGGUUUGGGGUUAUGAAAUGGAUGGGUGUAAUACCGACUUAGAGAAGUUUCUUGCUAGAAUUGGUAAGAACAAGGUAAUCCAAUGAAUUUUCUUUCGGUAAAUGUUUGUGGGAUCGACUCAUAGAAAAAGAAGUUUGAUUAGAAGUAUUUUAUAUAAAGAAUGGUGUAUAUAUGUAAAAUAGAUAUGUAAAAUGCCUAUAGGAAGUAGAUGGAGGCAUAUGGGGUACGUGAGAAUAAUGUACCGGAGAGGGAGACAAUAGUUUUUUUUGUAUUGAAAGAACCCAAUACUUGGUUUCUUACCAGUGAAGUGAGAGCCUGAAUGAAAGAUUUCAACAUUCAAUAUCAAACACGUCUUUUUGGAAAUAAAAUAAUAGUACAACUUAACACAUUAGUAACACCAAUGAAAAAAAAACAGUACAUAAAGGAUAACAAACUUAAGAAUUAUACAAUAUUAAACAUAAAUGAAGACUUAAAAGUUAAGAACUAUACGAUGUUACUUGACAUAUAUUCCAUUUAAAUUUUGAGUUGUGUGGAAGUAGAUGCUUAGACGAUGGUAGUUGCUUCAUUAUGUUUUUUGACUUUUGUAAUGUUGAAACUAUUAUUGAAUUAUAAAUUGCAAAAAUAUUAUUGCAAAUGACGUCUGUAUUGAAUUAUAAAAUUAUGAAGUUAUAAUAUAAGUUUUAGAUUUAAAAAGUUAAAUCUUUCUAUACUAAUAUACUAAUAAAAGAAUAGUUUUAUUAUUAUUUUGUAACGAGACACUCUAAUACGCAUCUUAUUUAAUACUAUGUCACGUGUCACUUUAUUGUUUCUUCAUUUUAAAUUUGCUCUCACUAAAAUCAACAAUAAAUGUGGCUCAAGAAAUUAAGAUAUAAUUCAAUAAAAUCAGUAUGCUUUUUUAAAAUGCUAUAAAUAAACAAAUAUAGAAAACCUAAUCAAGUUAGAUACUUUAAUUAAAUAAUUAGAUGUACAAAUUAUAUAAAAGAAUAUUUAUUUGCAAUGAUUGUUAUUCUUAUAGUCUUUGUAUUGAUUUAUUAACGUAAUCUAACGUAGUACAUGGGUUAUCACUCAGUGAUAUAAUAAAUAAAUAAUAAUUAAAUGAAAAAAUCUUACAUGCAAUUUAUCUUGUUUUUUACAUGCAAAAAUAAAACUUUCUGCGAAAGAAUUGCACAAGCUAAAAAUCCAACAUAAUUGUGGUAUAUGUUUACCCUUUAUCCUUAUUUCCCCUUCUUCCAUGCAAACCACCAUCCUUCAAUCCCCCUGCUAACAAACCAUCUCCAUUGUUGUCUCUCCAGAAUCCCCAAUUCUUUCUUUGCAGAAUCAACCUCCCAAAUCCCUCUUUUUUCAUCUAAUUCUCAAAAGGAAAAAAAUAAAAGAAGAAAUCGUGCGUGCAGUUUGUUCACCGGUUUGUCUUCAUCUUCAUCGUAUGAACCUCGCUGCUCGAAUUCAAAAUGGUUCGAGCAGCUGAGGAUGAACAAAACAUGAAUCCCGGAGUAGGUGAUGAAGGCGCCACAAACAAUGACAGCAAAUGCUCAGGUAAUCGCCACUUUUUUCCCGAGUUUUAUUCGGAUUUCAUGUUUUAAUGAUUUCGUUGUGCCCUAAACCUGGAAUUUCGUUGGAUUGAUUGAUUAAAUUGGGUGAGAAUUGAGUUGCAGUUUCAGAUUUGGAUACGGUGAAGGAAAAGUUCGCGAAAUUGCUUUUAGGCGAGGAUAUGUCAGGCGGAGGAAAGGGCGUUUCAUCAGCUCAGGCUUUGUCAAAUGCCAUUACGAAUCUAGCAGGUUCUACACAUAUUAUACCUACACAUUCUGAUUUUCAUAAUUAUAAUUCGAUUUUCUGAAAACUGUAAUUGAUUGAUUCUCGAUCCAUGUAUUCAGCUGCUGUUUUUGGGGAACAAUCACGAUUAGAGCCAAUGCCACCGGAAAGGAAAGCAAGGUGGCGGAAGGAAAUGGACUGGCUCUUAUCUGUCACCGAUCACAUUGUUGAAUUUGUCCCCUCAAAACAAAACACUAAUGGCGUAAACAUGGAGGUAGACGUUCUCUUUCUCUGUAUCGAUAUAUGCAUUUUUCUUGAAUAUUAAAUGGAUGAGAAAGGAUUUUGAAUAUGAAUUAAAUGCUUAAAUUUUACUGUGAACAGAUUAUGGUUACAAGGCAACGGAGCGACCUCCAUAUGAACAUUCCUGCAUUAAGGAAGCUUGACGCCAUGCUCAUUGUAAGAAGAAGACAAGCCCUAUCUUAUACUUGGGCUUUUUUUUUUUUUUCAUUAAAUGUUAAGUUCGAUAUAAAAUAAUGUUUAAAAUAAGUGUUUAAGAAAAUGAUGAAACACUUUAAUGUAAACAAGUUAAACAUAGUGUUGGACAUUUACGCCUAACAUGUAAUAUGUGGGUGUGUAGGAGUGCUUGGAUAAUUUUCAAGGGGAACAUGAGUUCACGUAUGCAUCAAAAGAUGACAACGAAGCAAAAAGCCAAAGAAAGAGGGAAGAAGAUAAAUGGUGGUUACCAACCCCAAAGGUCCCUGCAGACGGUUUAUCAGAGUCUACAAAGAAAUGGUUACAAUUUCAAAAAGACGCAGUUCACCAAGUACUCAAAGCAGCCUUAGCCAUUAACGCACAAAUUCUAAUGGAAAUGGAAGUCCCUGAAAGCUACACCGAAACCCUCCCAAAGGUACUUCACUUCAAUACAUCAAACUUUUCUACCAAAAAUUCAAUCUUUAUAGAAAAAAAAAAUUUGAAUCUUGAUGAAAAAAGAUUAAAUCUUGGUGAUAAAAAUCGAAUCUUAAUAGAAAAAAAUUAAAUUCUUGAUGAACUUAUAAUGAAUCUUUAUAGAAAAUUUUGAAACGUGUUGAUAAAAGAUCAAAUCUUAAUAGAAAAAAAAAAUUGAAUCUUGAUGAUAAAAGAUUGAAUCUUGAUGAUUAUUGAUUGUUUCAGAAUGGAAGGGCGAGCUUGGGAGACUAUAUCUAUAAGAGUAUAACGGUUGAGCACUUUGAUCCGGAUCACUUUCUUUCAUCAAUGGAUUUAACGAUUGAUCAUAAAAUUGUUGACCUCAAGAACAGAAUCGAGGCGUCUGUAGUGAUAUGGAAGAGGAAGAUGUCUGCUAAAGAUGGAAGAUCUAGUUGGGGUUCAGGUGUUAGUUUGGAAAAAAGAGAACAAUUUGGAGAUCGAGCAGAGACUAUUUUAUUAAUUCUUAAACAACGUUACCCUGGGAUCCCUCAAUCCAUACUAGAAAUCAGCAAAAUCGAACACAAUAGAGUAACAACUAACUAACGCCUUUUCACUUUUCAAACCCCAUAUCAUGGAAUUAGUUGAAAACAUUCAUUAAGUUUUUGCUUGUUUGUUUGAUUUUAUAGGAUGUUGGGCUUGCUAUUCUUGAGAGUUAUUCAAGAAUCCUAGAAAGUUUGGCACAUAAAGUGUUGUCACGUAUAGAAGACGUACAGCAUGCAGAUGCUCUUACACAAAAUCCAUCUUUGGGAGAUAUGAAGACCAAUUCUCUUAAAGAUUCAGUCAAGAUAUUAACAUCAGGUAAAUUCCCAGAUGCAGUAGAAGAGAUAGAAAGCUGAAUCAUUCAAUGACAUUGCCACAUUCAACACAAAAGUUCACAAUUUCAGACCUACAUAGAGUUUCGAUUUACUGUUCUUUCUUCCCAUGUAAAAUGUAAAAUGUAAAAUGUAUAGAAGAGAACAGAUUGUAUAUUGUGUUUGGUGUGAAUUGGAUUGGAUUGGGGUUGAAACUGAUGAAUCAAUUGUACAAAAAGAUUUGUAAUGAACACGAAUUCAUGCUUGAUUCUACCACAUCAUAUACUUGAAAAGUGAAAGGAGUUUUGGAGUAGGAAGCAAACAUGUACUUACAAGUUGUGGCAAGGAUACAUAAAAGACAUAACUAUAUAAAAUGUUUAUCAGAUUAGAUUUUGCCACGUGGACCUAGCUUAGGUGGUAGUUGUGGGCCCUUGACGAUGGGUAACACGUCACCUGUAGCGGUGGAGCUGAAGUAAGCAAGGGUGGAACCACCUCCAAGAAUCAAGAACUUGAGUAGCAAUCCUCUCUUGGUAAAAGGCGCAGCAAAUGUCUCGAAGAACUUGCUCUGCAAUAAAAUCAUCACAACUUAAACUUUCUUUUUGUAAAAUCCAUCGACUUUGGUCAACAAUUAAACUCUAACUUUGAUCAUUUGGUGUUAAUUAACUCAUUGAGGCAUUAAGUCGAAUACCUGGAGGGGGUUGUAAGGUGAAGGAGCAUCGGAACCGUAGACAUCCCACUGACCGGUGGUGUUGCCCAAAUCUUCCAAAUCGAAGUACACACUUUUGUCUCCGUAUUUAGCAACCACAGCUCCAGAUCUAUGCAUUGAUGA